CCCGCCCGACGGAUAUGGACAAAAAUAUUAGCUAUCUAAAAAUUUAUAAAUAAAUUUUAUUUUUGUCUAUUUAAUUUACAAGUAUAAUAAUCUAUGCAUGAUUUGAAAAAUUUAUAAAUAAAUUUUAAGAAAAACUUCAAAUACUCCCCUUGUGGUUUCGCACUUUCUCACUUUAGUACCCUGUGGUUUAAUAUUUCGUUAAAUUAUAUACAAAAAACUUCAGAUACCCUAUCUAAGUUUAUCGAAUAUUUAUUUUAGUACCCUUUAGUUUUAACUUUGUCACUGAUUUAACGAAAAAAAAUCUCGAAAUGGAUAAUAAAAUGAGAAAAAUGAAACCACAGGGUACUAACUUGAUACAAAAUGAAAUAAUAGAAUACUAACUUGAUACACUUUAAACCACAGCGUACUAAAGUGAGAAAAUGUGAAAUCACAGAGUACUAAUUUGAUACACUUUAAAUCACAACGUACUAAAGUAAAAAAGUGCAAAAUUAUGUGGGAGGGUUUUGAAGUUUUUACUAAAUUUUGAAAUCCACAAGUACAAUAAUUCAUCAGUAAUUUUUCCAAAUC
rnacentral:lncRNA from 1 species